UACACAAUCAAACAUACACAAUCCCCCCCUGACUCUUAGCAAACAAGUGAUUGCGCCUGCUUUAGAAAGGUAACUAGUUGCAAGUUUGCGGUAAAAUGCAGUUGGGUUGUUCAAAACACUAUGUAGCAGCUGUGAAGCAAAUAAAUUUACU